rnacentral:rRNA from 1 species
GGGGGGGGGGGGGGGGGGGCCUGGGGGGGUGGGGGCGGGCGGCGGGGGGGGGGGGGUGCUCGUCGGGCGUGAGCGGCGGACUGGUGAGCGGCGCGUGGGGCAGCGGCGUAUGCGACUUUGAUAGGUUCGUGCGCCCGGAUCUAGUACCUGAUCCGAGCUUAGGCCGCAUGUUGCCCGGUCUCACGACGGAUACGCUGUCACUUAUUGAUUGAUCCGCGACGCAUUGGCGAGUUGGUAAGGUCACGUCUUACCAAGGCACCGAUGCGUAGCCGACCUGAGAGGGUGAUAGGCCACACUGGAACUGAGACACGGUCCAGACUCCUACGGGAGGCAGCAGUAGGGAAUCUUCCGCAAUGGGCGAAAGCCUGACGGAGCAACGCCGCGUGAGUGAUGAAGGUCUUCGGAUCGUAAAACGCUGUUAUUAGGGAAGAACAAAUGUGUAAGUAACUAUGCACGUCUUGACGGUACCUAAUCAGAAAGCCACGGCUAACUACGUG